GACGAACGCUGGCGGCGUGCUUAACACAUGCAAGUCGAACGGUGAAGCGCCUUCCUUUUUGGUGGGUGUGGAUGAGUGGCGAACGGGUGAGUAACACGUGAGUAACCUGCCCCCUUCUUCUGGAUAACCGCAUGAAAGUGUGGCUAAUACGGGAUAUUCUGGGUCUGUCGCAUGAUGGGUCUGGGAAAGAUAUUGUUUCGGUGGGGGAUGGGCUCGCGGCCUAUCAGCUUGUUGGUGGGGUGAUGGCCUACCAAGGCGGUGACGGGUAGCCGGCCUGAGAGGGUGGACGGUCCCACUGGGACUGAGACACGGCCCAGACUCCUACGGGAGGCAGCAGUGGGGAAUAUUGCACAAUGGGCGCAAGCCUGAUGCAGCGACGCCGCGUGAGGGAUGGAGGCCUUCGGGUUGUGAACCUCUUUCGCCAGUGAAGCAGGCCUGCCUCGUUUGUGGGUGGGUUGACGGUAGCUGGAUAAGAAGCGCCGGCUAACUACGU
rnacentral:rRNA from 1 species